rnacentral:rRNA from 1 species
CCUAGGGGUGGCAGCAGUGGGGAAUAUUGGGCAAUGGGCGCAAGCCUGACCCAGCAACGCCGCGUGAAGGAAGAAGGCUCUCGGGUUGUUAACUUCUUUUUUCAGGGACGAAGAAAGUGACGGUACCUGAGGAAUAAGUCACGGCUAAAUAUGUGCCGGCAGCCGCGGUAAUACGUCGGGGGCAUGCGUUAUCCGGGUUGAUUGGUUGUAAAGGGUGUGUAGUGUGGAGCUCAAGUCAGAUGUGAACACUCUGGGCUCAACCCUGAGCCUGCAUUUGAAAUUGUGUUUCUUGAGUGCUGGAGAGGCAAUCGGAAUUCCGUGUGUAGCGGUGAAAUGCUUAGAUAUACGGAGGAACACCAGUGGCGAAGGCGGAUUGCUGGACAGUAACUGACGCUGAGGCGCGAAAGCGUGGGGAGCAAACAGGAUUAGAUACCCGUGUAGUC